rnacentral:rRNA from 1 species
GUAGGGACCAAGCGUUGUUCGGAUUUACUGGGCGUAAAGGGCGCGUAGGCGGCAUGACAAGUCACUUGUGAAAUCUCCGGGCUUAACUCGGAACGGUCAAGUGAUACUGUCGCGCUAGAGUGCGGAAGGGGCAAUCAGAAUUCUUGGUGUAGCGGUGAAAUGCGUAGAUAUCAAGAGGAAUACCUGAGGUGAAGACGGGUUGCUAGGCCGACACUGACGCUGAAGCGCGAAAGCCAGGGGAGCAAACGGGAUUAGAUACCCCGGUAGUCCUGGCCCUAAACGAUGAAUACUUGGUGUCUGGAGUUUUUAGUGCUCCGGGUGCCGUCGCUAACGUUUUUAGUAUUCCGCCUGGGGAGUACGCUCGCAAGAGUG